CUCCUCAGGUCCCGCCGCCGCCGUUGCCGAGUGACGGUGCGGGCGGGCAGGGCACGGCCGGGCGGGGUAAUGGCGGCCGCCCCCUUCCCCUCCCCGGGCGCCAUCGCCCCUCACACCCUCGUCGGCGCUCUGGGGACUGAAGGCGGCACCGCCAGGCUCCUCUACCCCGUCUCCCCCUGCCAUGUACAUUUUAGUGAACUUCACGAGGAGCAUGGGCUCAUCCCUGCCGCUGGAGCCGGGCCGAGAGAUGGGAAUAUUCAUCAUCGGCCCCAAACCCAUCCAUCUCCCCGCUCUGCCUGCGGCGCCCUGGCUGUGUAUGCUGGUUGCUAACAACAGCCGCCGGCUCCGCUGAAACAGGUCCGUAAUGUGAGAAUGUACUGAGCCAAGGCCCUCGACUGUUAAAAGAUGGGGCAAAGUCUGAAUAUUAGGAGUAGAAGAAGACAGGAAAGACCCACUAUACACCUCCUAUGUGGUGCAGAGCAAUGAGGAAUUGCCACCUAAUUCAGAAGAAAAAGGAAUCCAAACACCCCCAAUACGAACCUCAGGAAAAGUGCUUAUUAAAUUUUACCUUGAUUUAUUUUCACCUCCCUGAAAACUGCCAAUUUAGGCCAAGCU